rnacentral:siRNA from 1 species
UCUUUAAAAGACCUUUGUAAAUC